CAGCAGCCGCGGUAAUACGUAGGGUGCGAGCGUUAAUCGGAUUUACUGGGCGUAAAGCGUGCGCAGGCGGCCCGUUAAGACAGGUGUGAAAUCCCUGGGCUCAACCUAGGAAUUGCGCUUGUGACUGGCGGGCUCGAGUACGGUAGAGGGGGGUGGAAUUCCUGGUGUAGCAGUGAAAUGCGUAGAGAUCAGGAGGAACACCGAUGGCGAAGGCAGCCCCCUGGGCCUGUACUGACGCUCAUGCACGAAAGCGUGGGGAGCAAACAGGAUUAGAUCCCCUGGUAGUCCACGCCCUAAACGAUGGGUACUAGCCGUUUGGUGCGCGAUAGCGCUGAGUGGCGAAGCUAACGCGUGAAGUACCCCGCCUGGGGAGUACGGCCGCAAGGUUGAAACUUAAAGGAAUUGGCGGG
rnacentral:rRNA from 1 species